rnacentral:ncRNA from 1 species
AUAGUACUAGACAGUUAAAUUGUUUAGAGCCUUUAAAGUAUACACUAUAAAAGUGACGAACCAUUAUAGUGUACUGAUAUUGU